CUCCAGUCUCAGGCGCUGACCGCUGAGGGAAAGAAACUGUUCCUGAGUCUGCUGGUGCGACAGCGAAGACUCCUAUAACGUCUCCCCGAUGGGAGAGGAGUGAACAGUCUGUGAUUGGGGUGAGAGGAGUCUUUGAUGAUGCUUCUCAUUCUCCUUAGGCAGCG